UGCCCGGAUGGUCUUCAGGUCUGAUGCUGACUUGCCGUAUAUGCAUGGUGCUGCUCAACUCUCAAAGCUGUGGAAGGUAGAGCCAGCCGAUUCUGCCAAUGAUAUCACACUGCAUUAUUUUCUUUGUGUCACCGUCAAAAUUAUUUUCUUUGUGUACUGUGACAGUGGGCGGGAUAUUUUUUUGUCCGCUUCUUGAUCAUAUUACCUAGUCAAAGAUUUACAGCGUAUGAUUAAUGUCUGGUAUCCUUUCAGGCCUUUGUAAGUGAGAAGCUUCUGCAGAGAAAAGAACCCCCAUCGAUUUGGAAAAUACGAGUCCAUUUUUUGAGUGACGCCAAUGGAGGCAAUGCAUCGUAUUCAACACUGGUAUAGACUUGCUGUCGCAAAGAGGUAUUCCUUUUCCGU
rnacentral:lncRNA from 1 species